GGCGAACGCUGGCGGCGUGCCUAAUACAUGCAAGUAGAACGCACAGUUUAUACCGUAGCUUGCUACACCAUAAACUGUGAGUUGCGAACGGGUGAGUAACGCGUAGGUAACCUGCCUGGUAGCGGGGGAUAACUAUUGGAAACGAUAGCUAAUACCGCAUAAUAUUGAUUAUUGCAUGAUAAUUGAUUGAAAGAUGCUAUUGCAUCACUACCAGAUGGACCUGCGUUGUAUUAGCUAGUAGGUGAGGUAACGGCUCACCUAGGCGACGAUACAUAGCCGACCUGAGAGGGUGAUCGGCCACACUGGGACUGAGACACGGCCCAGACUCCUACGGGAGGCAGCAGUAGGGAAUCUUCGGCAAUGGACGAAAGUCUGACCGAGCAACGCCGCGUGAGUGAAGAAGGUUUUCGGAUCGGAAAGCUCUGUUGUAAGAGAAGAACGGGUGUGAGAGUGGAAAGUUCACACUGUGACGGUAUCUUACCAGAAAGGGACGGCUAACUACGUG
rnacentral:rRNA from 1 species